GAUGAAGAACGUAGCAAAAUGCGAUACUUGGUGUAAAUUGCAGAAUCCCGUGAACCAUCGAGUUUUUGAAUGCAAGUUGCGCCCGAAACCAUCCGGUUGAGGGCACGCCUGCCUGGGCGUCACGCAUCGCGUCGUCCCCCAACAUACUCUCCCUUUCUGGGUUGUCAUGUUGAUUGGGGACGGAGACUGGCCUCCCGUGCUUCUGGUGCGGUUGGCCUAAAUAGGAGGCCCCUUCGGUGGAUACACGGCUAGUGGUGGUUGUUAAGACCCUCGUAUUGUGCUGUGUGUUGUGAGCUGUUAGGGAAACCCUCACCAAAGACCCUAUUGUAUCGUCUUGGUACGAUGCUUCGACCGCGACCCCAGGUCAGGCGGGACUACCCGCUGAGUUUAAGCAUAUCAAUAAGCGGAGGA
rnacentral:misc_RNA from 1 species